UACAGAGGUCCCAAGCGUUGUUCGGAUUCAUUGGGCGUAAAGGGUGCGUAGGCGGCGCGGUAAGUCGGGUGUGAAAUCUCGGGGCUUAACUCCGAAACUGCAUUCGAUACUGCCGUGCUUGAGGACUGGAGAGGAGACUGGAAUUUCACGGUGUAGCGGUGAAAUGCGUAGAUAUCGGAAGGAACAUCAGUGGCGAAAGCGGCUUCCUGGACCAGAACUGACGAUCAGGCACGAAAGCGUGGGGAGCAAACAGG
rnacentral:rRNA from 1 species